rfam:Rhodosporidium toruloides NP11 unplaced genomic scaffold Scaffold17, whole genome shotgun sequence.
GCUCGCGUGGUGGUAACAUUUACGAAUAACCACUACGCCUUUUACUUAGCGGUUCCGUGUUUCCACCACACCACGCGGGCUGAACGAAUCUUUAGAUUACCCUUCGCGAUCU